rnacentral:ncRNA from 1 species
CAAGAACACUCUGGAGAGCGCGGUUUUCAAGCCGCCACCGAAGGGGCAGCGGCCCAGGCUUCAUCACCCAGCGCGCCGUAAUCUCUCAGGUACCAAGGACAGAGGGGUGAAG